rnacentral:rRNA from 1 species
AGUGAACGCUGGCGGUAGGCCUAACACAUGCAAGUCGAACGGCAGCACAGGAGAGCUUGCUCUCUGGGUGGCGAGUGGCGGACGGGUGAGGAAUACAUCGGAAUCUACCUUUUCGUGGGGGAUAACGUAGGGAAACUUACGCUAAUACCGCAUACUACCUACGGGUGAAAGUGGGGGACCGCAAGGCCUCACGCGAUUAGAUGAGCCGAUGUCCGAUUAGCUAGUUGGCGGGGUAAUGGCCCACCAAGGCGACGAUCGGUAGCUGGUCUGAGAGGAUGAUCAGCCACACUGGAACUGAGACACGGUCCAGACUCCUACGGGAGGCAGCAGUGGGGAAUAUUGGACAAUGGGCGCAAGCCUGAUCCAGCCAUACCGCGUGGGUGAAGAAGGCCUUCGGGUUGUAAAGCCCUUUUGUUGGGAAAGAAAUCCUGUCGAUUAAUACUCGGUGGGGAUGACGGUACCCAAAGAAUAAGCACCGGCUAACUUCGUG